rnacentral:rRNA from 1 species
GACGAACGCUGGCGGCGUGCUUAACACAUGCAAGUCGAACGGAAAGGCCCUGCUUUUGUGGGGUGCUCGAGUGGCGAACGGGUGAGUAACACGUGAGUAACCUGCCCUUGACUUUGGGAUAACUUCAGGAGACUGGGGCUAAUACCGGAUAUGAGCUCUUGCUGCAUGGUGGGGGUUGGAAAGUUUCGGCGGUUGGGGCUGGACUCGCGGCUUAUCCGCUUGUUGGUGGGGUAGUGGCUUACCAAGGCUGUGACGGGUAGCCGGCCUGAGAGGGUGACCGGCCACAUGGGGACUGCGAUACGGCCCAGACGCCUACGGGAAGCAGCAGUGGGGAAUAGUGCACAAUGGGCGGAAGCCUGAUGCAGCAACGCCGCGUGCGGGAUGACGGCCUUCGGGUUGUAAACAGCUUUCGCCUGUGACGAAGCGUGAGUGACGGUAAUGGGUAAAGAAGCACCGGCUAACUACGUG